CAGCCGCGGGUAAUUCCAGCUCCAAUAGCGUAUAUUAAAGUUGUUGCAGUUAAAAAGCUCGUAGUUGAAUUUCGGGGUUAGUAGGUUGGUCAUGCCUCUGGUAUGUACUGGUCUCACUGAUUCCUCCUUCCUGAUGAGCCGUAAUGCCAUUAAUUUGGUGUUGCGGGGAAUUUGGACUGUUACUUUGUAAAAAUUAGAGUGUUUAAAGCAAGCUAACGCUUGAAUACAUUAGCAUGGAAUAAUGAAAUAGGACGUUCGAUCCUAUUUUGUUGGUUUCUAGGAUUGACGUAAUGAUUAAUAGGGAUAGUUAGGGGCAUUAGUAUUCAAUUGUCAGAGGUGAAAUUCUUGGAUUUAUUGAAGACUAACUACUGCGAAAGCAUUUGCCAAGGAUGUUUUCAUUAAUCAAGAACGAAAGUUAGGGGAUCGAAGACGAUCAGAUACCGUCGUAGUCUUAACCAUAAACUAUGCCGACUAGGGAUCGGAUGAUGUUAAUUUUUUAAUGACUCAUUCGGCGCCUUACG
rnacentral:misc_RNA from 1 species